rnacentral:rRNA from 1 species
UACGUAGGGGGCAAGCGUUGUCCGGAAUCAUUGGGCGUAAAGAGCGUGUAGGCGGCCCGAUAAGUCCGCUGUGAAAGUCCAGGGCUCAACCCUGGGAUGCCGGUGGAUACUGUCGGGCUCGAGUCCGGAAGAGGAGAGUGGAAUUCCUGGUGUAGCGGUGAAAUGCGCAGAUAUCAGGAGGAACACCAAUGGCGAAGGCAGCUCGCUGGAACGGUACUGACGCUGAGGCGCGAAAGCGUGGGGAGCGAACAGG